UACGAAGGGGGGCUAGCGUUGCUCGGAAUCACUGGGCGUAAAGCGCACGUAGGCGGCUUUCUAAGUCAGGGGUGAAAUCCUGGAGCUCAACUCCAGAACUGCCUUCGAUACUGGAGAGCUUGAGUCCGGGAGAGGUGAGUGGAACUGCGAGUGUAGAGGUGAAAUUCGUAGAUAUUCGCAAGAACACCAGUGGCGAAGGCGGCUCAGCUGG
rnacentral:rRNA from 1 species